AUGGCGGCUCAAGCUUCCAUCGCGGUGGGAUCCCAGGUUUGGGUCGAGGAUCCCGACGAGGCCUGGAUUGACGGGGAGGUCCUAAAGGUCAAUGGAGACACGAUUACGGUCAAGUGCUCCAAUGAGAAAACCGUUACAGCAAAAGCAUCUCAUGUCCAUGCUAAGGAUCCCGAGGAAUCACCAUGUGGAGUUGAUGACAUGACAAAACUUGCCUAUCUGCAUGAACCUGGGGUUCUUCAAAAUUUGAAGUCUAGAUAUGACAUGAACGAAAUCUAUACGUAUACUGGAAGUAUUCUGAUUGCUGUAAAUCCUUUCCGAAGACUGCCUCAUUUGUACGAUAUUCAGAUGAUGGAACAGUAUAAAGGAGCAGAUUUUGGUGAAUUAAGCCCCCAUCCUUUUGCUGUUGCAGAUGUUGCAUAUAGAUUGAUGCUAAAUGAAGGAAUAAGUCAGUCCAUCCUUGUUAGUGGAGAAAGUGGUGCUGGUAAAACAGAAAGCACUAAAAUGAUCAUGCGUUAUCUUGCGUACAUGGGUGGAAAGGCUGCCACUGAAGGCCGAACUGUGGAGAAGCAAGUUCUUCAGUCAAAUCCUGUUCUUGAAGCAUUCGGAAAUGCAAAGACUGUGCGAAAUAACAAUUCAAGUCGCUUUGGUAAAUUUGUCGAGAUCCAGUUUGAUCAGAAGGGGAGGAUAUCAGGAGCUGCUGUCAGAACUUAUCUUCUCGAGAGAUCUCGUGUCUGUCAAAUAUCGGAAUCAGAGAGAAAUUACCAUUGUUUCUACAUGAUUUGCGCUGGCUCACCUGAGGAACGGGAGAAAUACAAACUAGGGGAUCCCAGUACAUUUCACUAUCUUAAUCAGUCCAACUGCUAUAAGAUUGAUGGCCUCGAUGAAUCGAAGGAGUAUCUUGAAACUAGAAAGGCCAUGGAUAUUAUCGGGAUCAGUUCUGAAGAGCAGGAAGCAAUUUUCCGGAUUGUUGCUGCUAUUCUCCACUUGGGAAAUGUUGAGUUUGCAGAAGGGGAUGAUGUGGAUUCAUCGAAACCUAAAAAUGAAAAAUCUAUGUUUCAUUUAAGGACAGCUGCCGAGCUCUUCAUGUGCGAUGAGAAAGCACUAGAAGAUUCACUGUGUAAACGUAUUAUUGUGACUCGUGAUGAGAACAUAGUAAAAACUUUGGACGCUGAGGCUGCCAAGGGUAGUAGAGAUGCGCUUGCUAAGACCGUGUACUCACGAUUGUUUGAUUGGCUUGUGACUAAGAUAAACAACUCUAUUGGUCAAGAUCCAACUUCAAAAUGCUUAAUUGGUGUGCUGGAUAUCUAUGGGUUUGAAAGCUUCAAGACAAACAGCUUUGAGCAGUUCUGUAUCAACCUGACAAAUGAAAAACUGCAACAACACUUCAAUCAGCAUGUCUUUAAGAUGGAGCAGGAAGAGUACACUAAAGAAGAAAUUGACUGGAGUUACAUUGAGUUUGUUGACAAUCAGGAUAUUCUUGAUCUCAUCGAUAAGAAACCUGGUGGAAUUAUCGCCCUUCUGGAUGAAGCUUGUAUGUUGCCAAGAUCGACGCAUGAGACAUUUGCUCAGAAGUUGUACCAAACUUUCAAAAAUCACAAGCGCUUUGUGAAGCCAAAGUUAUCUCGGUCAGACUUUACAAUAUGUCAUUAUGCCGGGGAUGUCACCUAUCAAACCGAGUUAUUUCUGGACAAGAACAAGGAUUAUGUUAUUGCUGAACAUCAGGCUCUCUUGGGUGCUUCAGGAUGUUCGUUUGUUUCAGGCCUUUUCCCUCUUCUUUCUGAUGACUCCUCAAAGUCGUCAAAGUUUUCAUCGAUUGGUUCCAGAUUCAAGCAACAACUGCAAUCUCUCUUGGAAACCUUGAGUUCAACUGAGCCCCACUAUAUCCGUUGUGUAAAGCCUAAUAGUUUAUUGAAGCCAGCAAUUUUUGAGAACCAGAAUGUUCUUCAGCAGCUCAGAUGCGGAGGGGUUAUGGAAGCAAUUAGGAUAAGCUGUGCUGGGUAUCCAACUAGAAGAACAUUCCUUGAGUUCAUUGACCGUUUCGGUAUUCUUGCGCCUGAUGUUUUGACUGGAAGUUCUGAUGAGAUUACUGCUGUAAGAAGGCUCUUAGAGAAGGUGGAUCUGCAAGGUUACCAGGUUGGCAAGACAAAAGUUUUUCUUCGUUCUGGUCAAAUGGCUGAACUUGAUGCUCGUAGAAAUGAAGUGUUAGGGCGUUCAGCUAACAUGAUUCAGAGGAAAGUCCGCUCGUUUUUGGCCAAGAAGAGUUUCAUUGCACUACGAAGAUCAGCUGUACAAAUUCAGACGGUUUGUCGCGGAGAGCUUGCAAGAAGAGUUUACCAGGGUCUCCGCAGAGAAGCUGCUUCUCUCAAAAUCCAGACUAGAUACCGCAUGCAUAAUGCGAGAAAGGCAUACACUGAACUUUCUGCUUCCGCGCUUACCAUUCAAUCAUCGUUACGUGGGAUGGCUGCACGUAAAGAGAUCCACUUCAGACGUCAAACAAGAGCUGCUAUCAUUAUCCAGACUCGCUGCCGUCAAUUCUUGGCGAGGUUGGAUUAUUCAAGAACAAGAAAAGCUGCUAUUACUACACAGUGCUUCUGGAGAGGAAAAGUUGCUAGGAAGGAGCUUCGAAAACUCAAAUUGGCUGCACGGGAAACUGGCGCUUUGCAAGCUGCCAAAAAUAAACUGGAAAAGCAAGUCGAAGAGCUUACGUGGCGCCUACAGUUGGAGAAGCGCAUGCGAGCUGAUCUUGAGGAAUCUAAAUCACAAGAGAAUGCAAAGUUGCAAGCUGCCUUGCAAGAGGUGCAACAACAGUACAAGGAAACAAAAGACACGCUAGUGAAGGAGAGAGAGGCGGCCAAAAAGGUCGCAGAGAUAGAGCCAGUUAUUAAAGAGGUUCCCGUUAUAGAUACAGAGCUGAUGAAUAAGCUUCGAGAUGAAAAUGAUAAACUUAAGACUCUUGUCAGUUCUCUUGAAAAGAAGAUUGAUGAUACUGAGAAGAAAUACGACGAAACAAACAAAAUCAGCGAGGAAAGACUAAAGAAGGCAAUGGAUGCUGAGUCGAAAAUUGAUGAUUUAAACAUGGCAAUGCUAAGGCUUCAAGAAAAAAUAUCCAACAUGGAAACUGAUGAGAAAGUGCAAAGACAAGCGUUGUUGAGCACGCCAGUCAGGAGCAUGUCUGAGCAUUUGUCGAUUCCAAUUGUUCCAAAGAACCUGGAGAAUGGCUAUCAUGAGGCUGAAGAGCCAAAGGAACCCCAAAGUGCACCCCCUGCCCUUAAGGAUUAUGGGAAUGGCGAUCCAAAGCUGAAAAAAUCUUCUGCUGAGAAGCAACAGGAAAAUGUCGAUGCACUUAUUGACUGUGUAGCAAAAAAUCUUGGCUACUGUGAGGGGAAGCCAGUUGCUGCUUUUACCAUAUAUAAAUGUCUCCUUCACUGGAAAUCUUUUGAGGCUGAGAAGACCAGUGUUUUUGACCGUCUUAUUCAGUUGAUAGGAUCUGCAAUAGAGAAUGAGGAGGACAAUGACAACCUUGCCUACUGGCUCUCAAAUACGUCUAGCUUGCUUUUCCUUUUACAAAGAAGUCUCAAAGCUGCUGGUGCACCUGGGACUGUUUCACGAAAGAAACCUCCUCAGCCGACAUCGUUGUUUGGUAGAAUGGCUCAAGGCUUGCGCUCUGCAUCUUUUGCUAACAUGCACGUUGAAGCGACUGAUGUUGUGCGCCAAGUUGAGGCCAAGUAUCCCGCGUUACUUUUCAAGCAGCAGUUGACUGCUUAUGUGGAGAAGAUUUAUGGAAUCAUCCGUGAUAAUAUUAAAAAGGAAUUGUCAUCUUUGAUUUCUUUAUGUAUCCAGGCUCCAAGAACAAUGAAAGCCAGCAUGCUGCGAAUUUCUGGAAGGUCAUCUGGUCAAACUCAGAGCAACCAUUGGCAGAAAAUUAUUGAGAACUUGGAUAUCCUUUUAAAAAUUCUACAAGAUAACCAUGUACCCCCAGUUUUAGCUCAGAAAAUCUUUACCCAGAUAUUCUCAUACAUCAAUGUACAACUAUUCAAUAGUCUGCUCCUUCGUCGUGAGUGCUGCUCCUUCAGCAAUGGAGAGUAUGUCAAAGCUGGCUUAGCUGAGUUGGAAUUGUGGUGUGCAAAGGCAACAUCCGAGUACGCAGCAUCAUCAUGGGAUGAAAUCAGGCAUAUCAGACAGGCUGUUGGCUUUUUGGUUAUAUUCCAGAAGUUCAGGAUAUCUUAUGAUGAGAUAGUCCAUGACCUAUGUCCGAUUUUGAGUGUCCAACAGCUGUACCGAAUUUGUACACAGUACUGGGACGACAAGUACAAUACCCAAAGCGUAUCGUCAGAUGUCCUUAGUAACAUGCGGGUCCUAAUGACGGAGGAUUCGAACAAUGCAGAAAGCAGUUCAUUUCUGUUGGAUGAUAAUUCAAGCAUUCCAUUCUCAGUGGAGGAUAUCACCAACGCGAUACAGGAGAAGGACUUCUCGGACGUGAAACCAGCCGAGGAGCUGCUCGAGAACCCCGCGUUCCAGUUUUUACAGGAUUAG
rnacentral:rRNA from 1 species